AUUAUCGCCGCAAUAUGCUUGGCAACGACCAACCGAUGAACACAUUCACCAGAGAAACACAAGAAGAUUUCACAUCCCCAAAGAACACUUCCAAGUGUUCCGAAGACUGAAAAAAUUUAUUUUGUGGAAACAGGAAUUGAAAAAUAU
ensembl:ncRNA F45F2.16 ncRNA